CACGUAGGCACCAAGCGUUGUCCGGAUUUACUGGGCGUAAAGAGCGCGCAGGCGGUCGGAUUAGUCGCGUGUGAAAGCCCCCGGCUCAACUGGGGAGGGUCACGCGAUACUGUUCGACUCGAAGGCAGGAGAGGGAAGUGGAAUUCCAGGUGUAGCGGUGAAAUGCGUAGAUAUCUGGAGGAACACCGGUGGCGAAGGCGGCAUCCUGGACCGGCAUUGACGCUGAGGCGCGAAAGCCAGGGGAGCAAACGGG
rnacentral:rRNA from 1 species